rnacentral:rRNA from 1 species
UACGGGGGGGGGCAAGCGUUGUUCGGAAUUACUGGGCGUAAAGGGCUCGUAGGCGGCCCACUAAGUCAGACGUGAAAUUCCUCGGCUUAACCGGGGGAACUGCGUCUGAUACUGGAUGGCUUGAGUUCGGGAGAGGGAUGCGGAAUUCCAGGUGUAGCGGUGAAAAUGCGUAGAUAUCUGGAGGAACACCGGUGGCGAAGGCGGCAUCCUGGACCGAUACUGACGCUGAGGAGCGAAAGCCAGGGGGAGCAAAACGGG